rnacentral:rRNA from 1 species
AUUAGUUAGUUGGUGAGGUAAUGGCUCACCAAGACGAUGAUGCAUAGCCGAGUUGAGAGACUGAUCGGCCACAAUGGGACUGAGACACGGCCCAUACUCCUACGGGAGGCAGCAGUAGGGAAUCUUCCACAAUGGGCGAAAGCCUGAUGGAGCAACGCCGCGUGUGUGAUGAAGGGUUUCGGCUCGUAAAACACUGUUGUAAGAGAAGAAUGACAUUGAGAGUAACUGUUCAAUGUGUGACGGUAUCUUACCAGAAAGGAACGGCUAAAUACGUGCCAGCAGCCGCGGUAAUACGUAUGUUCCAAGCGUUAUCCGGAUUUAUUGGGCGUAAAGCGAGCGCAGACGGUUAUUUAAGUCUGAAGUGAAAGCCCUCAGCUCAACUGAGGAAUUGCUUUGGAAACUGGAUGACUUGAGUGCAGUAGAGGAAAGUGGAACUCCAUGUGUAGCGGUGAAAUGCGUAGAUAUAUGGAAGAACACCAGUGGCGAAGGCGGCUUUCUGGACUGUAACUGACGUUGAGGCUCGAAAGUGUGGGUAGCAAACAGGAUUAGAUACCCUGGUAGUCCACACCGUAAACGAUGAGUGCUAGGUGUUU